rnacentral:rRNA from 1 species
UAGGAUUGUUACGAUGUCGAUUUGGAGGUUGUGCCCUUGAGGCGUGGCUUCCGGAGCUAACGCGUUAAAUCGACCGCCUGGGGAGUACGGCCGCAAGGUUAAAACUCAAAUGAAUUGACGGGGGCCCGCACAAGCGGUGGAGCAUGUGGUUUAAUUCGAUGCAACGCGAAGAACCUUACCUACUCUUGACAUCCAGAGAAUUCGCUAGAGAUAGCUUAGUGCCUUCGGGAACUCUGAGACAGGUGCUGCAUGGCUGUCGUCAGCUCGUGUUGUGAAAUGUUGGGUUAAGUCCCGCAACGAGCGCAACCCUUAUCCUUUGUUGCCAGCGAUUCGGUCGGGAACUCAAAGGAGACUGCCGGUGAUAAACCGGAGGAAGGUGGGGAUGACGUCAAGUCAUCAUGGCCCUUACGAGUAGGGCUACACACGUGCUACAAUGGCGUAUACAAAGAGAAGCGAACUCGCGAGAGCAAGCGGACCUCAUAAAGUACGUCGUAGUCCGGAUUGGAGUCUGCAACUCGACUCCAUGAAGUCGGAAUCGCUAGUAAUCGUAGAUCAGAAUGCUACGGUGAAUACGUUCCCGGGCCUUGUACACACCGCCCGUCACACCAUGGGAGUGGGUUGCAAAAGAAGUAGGUAGCUUAACCUUCGGGAGGGCGCUUACCACUUUGUGAUUCAUGACUGGGGUGAAGUCGUAAAAGGGGUAAGCCAAUAC